rnacentral:rRNA from 1 species
UUGGCCCAGAUCGUUUACCGUGAAAAAAUUAGAGUGUUCAAAGCAGGCAGAUCCAAUUUUCUGCCACCGAAUACAUUAGCAUGGGAUAAUGGAAUAGGACCCUGUCCUCCUAUUUUCAGUUGGUUUUGGCACGCGAGGACCAGGGUAAUGAUUAAUAGGGAUAGUUGGGGGCAUUAAUAUUUAAUUGUCAGAGGUGAAAUUCUUGGAUUUAUGAAAGAUUAACUUCUGCGAAAGCAUCUGCCAAGGAUGUUUUCAUUAAUCAAGAACGAAAGUUAGGGGAUCGAAGACGAUCAGAUACCGUCGUAGUCUUAACCAUAAACGAUGCCGACCAGCGAUUAGGAGACGUUGAAUACCAAACACCACCAUCGGUGCGGUCGUCCUUGGCGCGUCGUGGCUUGCUGCGGCGUGCGAGGGCGGUUUAGCCUGAUGGCAUCGGUGAAUGACU